GCUUCGUUGGUGCAGUGGUAGCAUGCCUCAUUUGGGUUGAAACAUUCAGUUUCGGUAUUUGAGGUGGUCCUCGGUUCAAUCCCGGGACGAGGCC